rnacentral:rRNA from 1 species
UACGGAAGGCAGCAGUGGGGAAUAUUGCACAAUGGGCGCAAGCCUGAUGCAGCCAUGCCGCGUGUAUGAAGAAGGCCUUCGGGUUGUAAAGUACUUUCAGUCGUGAGGAAGGUGUUAAGGUUAAUAACCUUAGCAAUUGACGUUAGCGACAGAAGAAGCACCGGCUAACUCCGUGCCAGCAGCCGCGGUAAUACGGAGGGUGCGAGCGUUAAUCGGAAUUACUGGGCGUAAAGGGCACGCAGGCGGUUAAUUAAGUUGGAUGUGAAAUCCCCGGGCUUAACCUGGGAAUGGCAUUCAAGACUGGUUAGCUAGAGUCUUGUAGAGGGGGUAGAAUUCCAUGUGUAGCGGUGAAAUGCGUAGAGGAUGUGGAGGAAUACCGGUGGCGAAGGCGGCCCCUGGACAAAGACUGACGCUCAUGUGCGAAAGCGUGGGGAGCAAAACAGGGAUUAGA